rnacentral:lncRNA from 1 species
GCGCCCGGUUCACGGCCUCGCGGCACAGCAGGCACAGCGCCGCGACCCCCGACUCAAAUUCCCGCCACUCAAAUUUCGGACCCCCAGACUCAGAUUGGGGGGGUUUGGGGGGCUUAGAACCGGGUUUGGGACCCCCAGACUCAAAUUCCCGCCCCCGGGGACCCCCAGACUCAAAUUGCGGGGGUUUGGGACCCCCAGACUCAAAUUCCCGGCUCCGGGGGCCCCCAGACUCAAAUUGCGGGGGUUUGGGGGGCUUAGAACCGGGUUUGGGACCCCCAGACUCAAAUUCCCGGCUCCUCGGGACCCCAGACUCAAAUUGGGGGGGUUUGGGACCCCCAGACUCAAAUUCCCGGCUCUUGGGACCCCCAGACUCAAAUUCCCGGCUCCGGGGACCCCCAGACUCAGAUUGGGGGGGUUUGGGACCCCCAGACUCAAAUUUGGGACCCCCAGACUCAGACUGCAGGGGUCUGGGGGGCUUAGAGCUGGGUUUGGGGCCCCCAGACUCAAAUUCCCGCCCCCGGGGACCCCCAGACUCAGAUUGGGGGGGUUUGGGACCCCCAGACUCAAAUUGCGGGGGUUUGGGGGGCUUGGAGCCGGGUUUGGGACCCCCAGACUCAAAUUCCCGCCCCCGGGAGCCCCCAGACUCAAAUUGCAGGGGUUUGGGACCCCCAGACUCAAACUCCCGGCUCCUCGGGACCCCAGACUCAAAUUUGGGGGGUUUGGGACCCCCAGACUCAAAUUCACGACUCCGGGGGCCCCCAGACUCAGAUUUGAGGGGUUUGGGGGGCUUAGAACCGGGUUUGGGACCCCCAGACUCAAAUUCCCGGCUCUUGGGGCCCCCAGACUCAGAUUGCCGGGGUUUGGGACCCCCAGACUCAAAUUUGGGACCCCCAGACUCAAAUUCCCGCCCCCGGGGGCCCCCAGACUCAAAUUUGGGGUGUCGGGAGGGGGGUCUGGGGGUCUUAGAGCCGGGUUUGGGAGGCCUGGACCCAGAUUCGGGGGGUUUGGAACCCCCAGACUCAAAUUCGGGGGGUCUGGGGCGUUUGGAGCCACAUUUGGGACCCCCAGACUCAAAUUUGGAACCCCCAGACUCAAAUUGGGGGGGUCUGGGGUGCCUGGAGCCACAUUUGGGACCCCCAGAGUGAAACUCGAGACCCCCAGACUCAAAUUUGGCACCCCCAGACCCAGAUUUGGGAUUUUCAGACCCAAACUUGGCACCCCCAGACUCAAAUUUGGGGUUUUUGGCUGGUUUGGGACCCCCAGACCCAAAUUUGGGACCCCCAGCCCCAAAUUCGGGACCC